rnacentral:rRNA from 1 species
GAAGAGGAGCCAAACUCAAAAACCGGUCCCAGUUCGGAUUGUAGGCUGCAACUCGCCUACAUGAAGUCGGAGUUGCUAGUAAUCGCGGAUCAGAAUGCCGCGGUGAAUGCGUUCCCGGGUCUUGUACACACCGCCCGUCACACCAUGGAAGUUGGGGGCGCCCGAAGUUGGUCGGGAAAUAGAUUACCUAAGGCGAAACCAAUGACUGGGGUGAAGUCGUAACAAGGUAUC